GACUCCACACACUUCUCCCAGCGGUGCCGCCAUUGUUGGAAGCAUUCCGAGAAAGCCUCUUUCGAAAUGGAGUUUAGCUCGGCUGUCGUUGCAGCCAUAAUGUCCUCUCUUGUCUGAAAUCGUGUUCCUUUCAAUGGCCUCUUGAGUUUGGGGAACAGCCAGAAGUUGCAAGGAGCCAUAUCAGGAGAGUAAGGAGCCUGUAUAUGUUAUAACAAUU